AUGGCUCCCGAUCGCUUCUUUACGGCCCCUGAUCAAUGGCCGCCGACCCGCAGCGACCCACCCGCCCGCGGCGGCGCCGGGCGAAAAUGGCGGCGGGCAUGGCGGGAGAGCGGCCACGCCCCCUCGGAUCAGACCACGCCCCCAUACGGCAAAACAGCGUCAUUCACAUCAGGCCACGCCCAUCCAGCAAACCCCCGCCCCCUCCCAUCAGGCCCCGCCCACUCCGCCAUGGCGGGGUCGCGAUCCGGCACCCCUCUGUCCCCACACGCGGGAAAAGCGUUUUCUGCCUUUAUUGUUUCGUUUUCUGCCUUUAUUUCGCUCUCUGCCUUUAUUUCCUUUUCUGUCGCUCGUCCGUCCCCGCUCCACCCCCGGCUCUGCGGUGUUCGCCCUGCGAGAGAGCUGCGGGAGCGGUGGCUGAUGCCGUGCGUGGUUCACAAAACCAGAGUUGCAGAAGGUUUGGGCUGGAGGGACAUUGAAUUUAAUUUAAUCCCACUCGGCUGGCUCAGUGUCCCUUUGCUCAGUGUCCCUAAGGCUCAGUGUCCCAGCGCUCAGUGUCUGUGCUCAUUUUCCCUGUGGCUCAGUGUCCCCGUGCUCAGUGUCCCUAAGGCUCAGUGUCCCAGCGCUCAGUGUCUGUGCUCAUUUUCCCUGUGGCUCAGUGUCCCCGUGCUCAGUGUCCCUAAGGCUCAGUGUCCCCCGUGCUCAUUGUCCCUGUGCUCACUGUCCCCGUGCUCACUGUCCCUGUGCUCAGUGUCCCUGUGCUCAGUGUCCCUUUGCUCACUGUCCCUGUGCUCACUGUCCCUGUGCUCAGUGUCCCUAAGGCUCAGUGUCCCCGUGCUCAGUGUCACUGUGCUCACUGUCCCUGUGCCCACUGUCCCUGUGCUCAGUGUCCCUGUGGCUCAGUGUCACUGUGGCUUAUUGUCGCUGUGCUCACUGUCCCCGUGCUCACUGUCCCUGUGCUCACUGUCCCUGUGCUCACUGUCCCUUUGCUCAGUGUCCCUGUGCUCAGUGUCCCCCUGCUCACUGUCUCUCUCUCGGAUUUUCUCUCCCCACCUGCUGAAUAAAGAGCAGCUGAGCCCAGAGCAGGGCGGGAGGUGUUGGGGAAGCUGAAACUCUGAAUUUCCUGUUCACUGCAGCCUCUGCAGCCUGGCUCUGCUCUCGCUGCACAGCAGGGUCGCAGAAAAGAUCCUGCAGAGCUCACUGCCAUUUCCCUGGUGAAUCAAACCUGAUUCCAUCCUGAGAAUUAUUGAGUUGACUUGGCUGGGAGGGACCUUAAAGCUCCUCUCAUUCCACCCCUGCCAUCCCAUUGCAGCCUCCCUUGGAGAAAGCUUCCAGAAUUAGUAAUGGAACAAAGUCACUGAUGUCUAGUUCAAAUAAAAUAAUAAUAUCACACGGUAAAGAGCUUAAAGUGUUAGAAUAUAAUAGUAAGUGUAGGAGAAGAUGAAAGUUUUAAGGUGUUUUUCUUCCUUCUUGUUCUUUGUCUUAGGUGUAAGUAGUAUUCUUUAAAUAAAUAAAUGUGCUGCACUUCAGAAUUAAAAUAAAAAGUGCAGGUCACAAGUGUUUAGUCAUUAGGUCAAAAGUAGAAAUAAUAUGUGUUAAUUUUCAUUGAACUGUUUAAGCUUAUAAAACCUUGUAGUGAGUGAAAUACAUCAUCAUUUCUUCACUUGCAGCUCUCUAGCCAGAAG
rnacentral:lncRNA from 1 species